UUUAUGGAGAGUUUGAUCCUGGCUCAGGAUGAACGCUGGCGGCGUGCCUAACACAUGCAAGUCGAGCGAACGGACGAGAAGCUUGCUUCUCUGAUGUUAGCGGCGGACGGGUGAGUAACACGUGGAUAACCUACCUAUAAGACUGGGAUAACUUCGGGAAACCGGAGCUAAUACCGGAUAAUAUUUUGAACCGCAUGGUUCAAAAGUGAAAGACGGUCUUGCUGUCACUUAUAGAUGGAUCCGCGCUGCAUUAGCUAGUUGGUAAGGUAACGGCUUACCAAGGCAACGAUGCAUAGCCGACCUGAGAGGGUGAUCGGCCACACUGGAACUGAGACACGGUCCAGACUCCUACGGGAGGCAGCAGUAGGGAAUCUUCCGCAAUGGGCGAAAGCCUGACGGAGCAACGCCGCGUGAGUGAUG
rnacentral:rRNA from 1 species